rfam:Parcubacteria bacterium GW2011_GWA2_42_11 TT87_C0001, whole genome shotgun sequence.
GCCGCGGUGGUGGAACAGGCAGACACAAGGGACUUAAAAUCCCUCGACCGAAAGGUCAUGCGAGUUCGAUUCUCGCCCGCGGCA